AUGUUGGGGUACUAUCAUAUUGCCAACAAGAUGUUUGAUAGUGAGGAUGAAGGUUAUAUAUUCUAUAACAAAUAUGGUCUUGAGAAAGGUUAUAGUGUCCAGAGAAGCUAUGUUGAGUGGGAUGGAUAUAUUAAGAUGGAUAUAUUAAGGAAAAUUGUGUGUAGUCGUGAAGGGGUUCAUGAAGAGAAGCACAUGAAGAGGAAGAUGGAAGAUAGAAAGAGGAGGCCACGGAUUAUAACUCAUGUCGGGUGUAAAGCUAAAUUGGUGAUUGCAAGACAAGAGGAAACAUGUCACUGGUUUGUGAAGGAUUUCAUCGAUGAACACAACCAUCCUCUAGCCCCACGGGGUCUUUCGUGUCUUUUGAGUUCACACAAAAGAAUUAGCGAUGAGAAGAAAGCGGACAUUGCAGACAUGGAAAAAUCUUGGAUCAGGAAACACCAUAUUAUGGAUAUUUUGUGCAUGCAAUAUGGUGGGUAUGAUGAGGUUGGAUGCACGAUGAGGGACAUUUAGAAUUGCUGCCAUGCUAACAAGAAGGAAUCAAUUGCUUUCGGUGAUGCUCAAACGAUAAUCAAUCACAUGGUGGCGCGGCGAGAGCAAGAUUCAGAUUUUUUUUUCUUGAGCUAGUUGGUUGAUGAUGUUGGCCAUCUAAAGGGACUUUUCUGGCGUGAUAGUCAAUCCUGACUUGAAUACGAGGUUUUUGGAGACAUCAUUGUCUUUGAUAGCACAUAUAGAACCAAUAAGUACAAUCUACCAUUUAUGUCGUUGAGUCACCACCGCGGCACUGUUAUUUUUGGAUGUGGUAUCAUUUCUCAUGAAACAAGCCAGGCAUACGAGUGGAUGUUACAGACCUCUUCUGAUGCCAUGGGACAGAAGCAUCUGAUAUCUGUGAUCACGGAUGGAGACCUUGCACAGAGAGCAAUCAGGUUGGUGUGGCCUGACUCAAACCAUAGGCUGUGUAUAUGGCACAUUCAGCAGAACAUUGCACGUCAUUUGCAUGAUGAGGUAAAGGAGGAAUUCAGAUCUUCCAUAUAUGAUACAUCUUCCAUUGAAGAGCAUGAGAGAAAAUGGUUACAAUUCUUACAACAGAAUAAAGUAACAACUAAGGAGUCCUGGCUGCAUCAGAUGUAUAAGAUGAGAAAGUUGUGGUGUGCUCCAUAUCUUGAGGGGCGUCGUUUCCUAGGAUUGAGCGGCAAUCAGCAGAGUGAGAGCUUAAACUCGAUGCUACAUACACAUCUUGAGGCUAAGAUGGCGUUGUUUCAAUUGCCAUCAACAUGGAUACAUCAACAACAUCUCGAAAUACUUGGAUCUGUGUGUUACUCCUGUUAG
rnacentral:rRNA from 1 species